rnacentral:lncRNA from 1 species
AGGGCCUCUGCCUGAGGCAUCUCUUAGAACUGACACUCUCUAAAACGAUGAGAUUUGUUUGUUUGUUUGUUUGUUUGUUUGUUUGUUUUUUCAGGGAGGUGCUGGGGCAAACCUGCAAGGCAAGCACUCUGCAUGUGAGCCAGCCCCCAAGCCUGAUGUACCUUCUACUUAGAAUUGAGCUCGUACUGCCUUUCUGUGUUUACCUCCACCAGCAGCAGGGAUAUUAUUUUGACUCAGUUUUGCUUGUUGCCCUGGCUAGCCUUGAACUCACAGCUAUCCUCCUGGCUUAAUAAUAUGUGAUUUCUUCCUUCUUUCGUGUGUGUGUGUGUGUGUGUGUGUGUGUGUGUGUGUGUGUGUCUGGGUAUUGACCCUAUGGCCUGGUGCAUGGCAGGCAAGCACUCUACCACUGGACUCUGUCCCCAGCCCCCACCUUCUCAGCUGUGAAUCUAUUUUCAGUAAAUUGUGAAGAUGUGCAUA